CCCUGUGGGAUGGUCAUCAUCUGAAUUUCUGAUGCUAGAAGAGAGGAUCGAGAAAUACAGUUAAAGACUGUCAGAGCCUGAAGGAUCCCAUUGUGCUUUACAAACUGCACCUCUGUCCUGCAAGCUGUUCUGCAUGAGUGUAGGGCUUCAUCCACACGGAGAAACAUUCAGGAUCAAGCCUAGCUUUGUAUCUUCACCAUGUGAUGUUGCACAAGUAAAUGAAACAGAAAAUGUCUCAAGAGAAUUAUUUACUUCAUGGAAUACAUUCAAAAAGGUGAUGUCCCUCCACAUGUCUACUUCAGGCAACAAGUGCUAGAACUGCAAAGGCAAAUCAAUGCCAGAGCUGUAAACAAGAAACCCAAGAGAGGAAUGACAGAUAUAUCUAUGUACUUCCUUCACUGUGGACCUGAUCCAGCCCCCACUGAAGCCAAGGGCUGGAUCAAGUCCUACAUGCAUACUGCCCUCUACUGGACACACUGUCAGCCUUGCAUACGCAUAGGUUUAUGUUACUAUGCUUUUCUCAAGAGGCUGCAUCCUACAGGAUGAUAUAAACGCUAAUGCAAUGGUACAAGUGUAAACGUCCAUUAAGAGCUAGUCUAUUAUUACUGUGUAUUGUAAUGCAGAAGUUUUGUUAUUUAAAAUACAAAG